UACGAAGGGGGCUAGCGUUGCUCGGAAUCACUGGGCGUAAAGGGUGCGUAGGCGGGGCUUUAAGUCAGGGGUGAAAUCCUGGAGCUCAACUCCAGAACUGCCUUCGAUACUGGGAAGCUCGAGUCCGGGAGAGGUGAGUGGAACUGCGAGUGUAGAGGUGAAAUUCGUAGAUAUUCGCAAGAACACCAGUGGCGAAGGCGGCUCACUGGCCCGGUACUGACGCUGAGGUGCGAAAGCGUGGGGAGCAAACAGG
rnacentral:rRNA from 1 species